rnacentral:lncRNA from 1 species
AGUGCUGCUGUUUCUCUUGCCCGAGGAAACACUUCAUCGCUUGGAGGGUGCAGGACAUUUCGGUGCUCUUCUGUAUAAGAUCGGGGUGUGGGCAGGGGUGGCCAGCGGUGGCAGAGAAAUGUCUUUUCUGCAAAAGGAAGGUGGGUAGAUUGGAGAGAGACUGAGAAAGGGUGGAUGUGGAAGCCAAACAGCUGCACUCUCAUUUAGGAAAUCGCGGACUAUUUGCAUAGUGUGUGAUUGCAUGCCUAAUACUACUACAGCGUCUCUGAAAACACCUUUUGGGGAAGGUUUGGUUUCUCCUUUCCAGCAGCCUCAGUGUUUUUCUUCGCCGGAUAGGAAGCUGCUUGUUUGCGAAGAGAUGGCAUGAUGUGAAUGACUCCAGUGUGAAGAAGUCUGCUUCGCCAAAUCAUCCUGCAUCAAGUGCCCAUUGAAUAGCACUGUCACUUUAAUGUCUCCAUGCCAAGGGAUUGCCUUCCUUCUUUUCAAUCCUCUCAGUUAAUACACAGGAGGAUCAGGAUCUGAGGGGCAUUAAGGAUCAAGCCUUGGGGGCUUGGAGACCACAGAAGAAAAAUAGGAAAGUGACAAGCUGGAUAGUGUUUUACUGAGGGGCGAGAAACAGAACCAGUAAAUAGAAGGGGGCCUUUGAAUCUCUCUUUUGCCCCCAGAAAACUGUCCAAACUCACACACCCCUGAAAAGACUAGAGUAAGACGUUUUUAAAAGUGUUUUUGAAGGGGAAGUUUAAACUUUUUCCUAAAAAUUGAUGCUCUUUAUUACGAACCAUGUCGAACAUGUAUAAAUUAAUAAGUCAACCGUCCUAAAAUUGGUUUGUGCCUUAAUUGAGUUAGUUAUUGAACAUCUAAAAGUGUUGCUGCCUGAAGAGGAGUUUUAGUAACAUUUUCUAUGCAUAAGAUAACUUUCUCAGCUUUUAAAACAAGAAUAUAUAUUUUACAAAAAUUGAAAAACUUGCUAUUUUUUUCUUUGAAGACCUUGGGCAGUGUAAUGUUUGGUUGUGGAGAAAGGCAUCAUUUUUUUCUUUAUUUGAAAUAGAAGACUCAGCCUGGAUAUCAAGGCUGAACGGUGAAGAGAUUUGCAACAGUUAACCUGGUUCCAUCUCCAUUCAGCUGGAUCAAGCAGAGACUGAAACUCAGAGAUCUUGAGUCCAGAGUCAGUGGAGAGACCCAAGAAUGCCAGUCAAGAAGAAAGGUGGGCUAUGAGGUUCAUACAUAACAUAUGAUUUUCCUUUUUCUUGGCUGUGGUUUUUGUAAUUUAAAUUGUAUUCUAUUGCAGGGCAAAAUUUUGCCUGGUUUUGAGUAAAUAUUUACUGCAAUGAAUAUCUGCUCAGUAGUACCUUUUCAGUAAUAUUUUAUUAUAGUAAAGUUAAGGUAAUACUAUAGACAUAUGUAAAUUAAUGAACCAGGUAGUUAAUGUCACCAUUUGUAAUCAGAAUAGAUUCGGUGCUAUAGGUUUGGGGUUUAAAGCUCAGUUUAAAUAAUCUUUUAAAAAGAAACUUGUACAGUGGAGUUUUUCCCCAUGAGCUUGAUACUUAUUGAAUGAUUAUGUAGGUGUAACAUAAGGCAACAUUUGUAAAAUCAUAGCUUUAUUUCUUAUACUUAAAAAUAGACUUCAUAUUUGAGUUUAUUCCAGUGUAUGUCUUCCCUUCCGUGGUAAUUCACAACUUUGAUAGUUUAUUUUAUUAUUCAGUAACAUGUUUUGGGAAAUUCCCUCAAGUAAAGCAUAUACUUGCUCUUUUCUUCCUUUCAGUAACCCUUAUCACUUUGAUCAGAAUCCCAUGGGGUUCCUGGAGCAUGGUCUAUUAUAGAUCAGAGAGCUUAAGGGUUCACCUUAGCUGAGAUGAACUUUGUUCCACAGAAGCUUAGUGAAAUGAGACCUUUAUGUUUUUACAGAUGACAUCAGUAAUAAAGUUUAUGGAGAAUUUUGAAUAAAAAUUUAGACUACCUUUGAAGUUUAUUGUUCUGGGCUAGUAUAGAUCCGAAUGUUGUCCAGUUAUGUUGAUUGCUAUGAUAUUGAAUUAGAGACCUAAACUGUAGGUUACAUCUAGAGAAUUCAUAUGGUGUUUUAUGUUAUUUAAUCCAUUGGCUUCUGGGUUUGGAAGAUGUAUUAAAAACACAGUCAAUGAGAUGCUUUUUUGGGAAAAUAGUCCAUGUAAAGGGGGACAGAGCUAUCAGAAACUGUUGAACCAUCGAGAAUUGUACUUUUGCACCCUGGGGUUGAAAAGUGGAAUUGUUUCCUCCUUUAUCAUUCCCCGUGAGACUACUUACUGAAAGAGGUGAGCUGUCUUUGAUAUUUUGGAGCUGUACCUGGACAUGAUUGGUUUAUAUGGAUAAAGAAAGAAAGGUUUGGGAAAUGUAGCCAAUAAACAAUGUCUUUGAUUUCCU